UACGGAGGAUGCAAGCGUUAUCCGGAAUGAUUGGGCGUAAAGCGUCCGCAGGUGGCAAUGUAAGUCUGCUGUUAAAGAGUCUAGCUCAACUAGAUAAAAGCAGUGGAAACUACAUAGCUAGAGUACGUUCGGGGCAGAGGGAAUUCCUGGUGUAGCGGUGAAAUGCGUAGAGAUCAGGAAGAACACCGGUGGCGAAGGCGCUCUGCUAGGCCGUAACUGACACUGAGAGACGAAAGCUAGGGGAGCGAAUGGG
rnacentral:rRNA from 1 species